UACGUAGGGCGCAAGCGUUGUCCGGAAUUAUUGGGCGUAAAGAGCUCGUAGGUGGCUUGUCGCGUCUGCCGUGAAAGCCCAUGGCUUAACUGUGGGUCUGCGGUGGAUACGGGCAGGCUGGAGGCUGGUAGGGGCAAGCGGAAUUCCUGGUGUAGCGGUGAAAUGCGCAGAUAUCAGGAGGAACACCGGUGGCGAAGGCGGCUCUCUGGGACGGUACUGACGCUGAGACGCGAAAGCGUGGGGAGCGAACAGG
rnacentral:rRNA from 1 species